CACUACACAGGGAACGAUAGUAGACAGUGGUAAAGGUGUGUUCACUACACAGGGAACGAUAGUAGACAGUGGUAAAGGUGUGUUCACUAUCUCACUAGCGCUGGGUUAGAUUAAGGGUGUGUUCACAGUCUAGCUAGGACUGGGUUACACAGGGUCUCAGUCUAUCCUGGGUUAGAGAUGUCCACCACUUAAGCUGUUGAUGUUCCUUGUUUUCCUGUUUUUUUUUUCCACCUGAAUCUGUUGUAGCCAGGAGGUGGGUUUUAUUGGGAUUCCCUAUUUUAACUGGAUUUUUUACCAUUUGUAAUUUGUACGUGAGGUCCCAUGUUUUAUCCUUUGUGAGAAGAAACUUUCUCGCGAGAAGUGGCUGCGUGGGUCGUCGGAAGCUCUCUGGCUGAGCUCACUCAAAACUUGACACACUGACUCGUGGAACAUUUUGUGUCUUUGCUCAACUCUGGGUGUGGUCAGCGUUUUUUAUGUCGAAGGUGUCAAAAGUUUGAGAGAACAGAAGAAGUUUGUUGACGAGUUUGGAACAAGAAUUGGGCGGUCGGCUCACGGCAGCCCACAUGGAAUGGAGAUUUCUGAGUGUGUGACGCAGUACGUGUAAGUCGGUACCGGUAAGUCAAGAGUUGACCUAUAUAUAGAACAAAGGAUGACAUUUUGUCGGGGCCCGCAGCCAACUUCCGUUAUUUUCACCAUUUUUUUCUCCAGUUCCCAAUACAUGCUACAUGUGUCUGCCCGAGCGAGAAAUAUGUGCCGCCGGCUUUUUUAAAUGUUAAUAAACUUAUGUCUGUGGUUGAUGUAGUUUGUGCUGACUCGGCACUCUGUAGUUGUCUGUCGCUGUCGUGUUGAGAUGUGUGGGUUUUGCUGUUUGCUUCCUACCUGGCAGAAUAGCUUUGUGGUAGAUGUGUUCACACGUGUUCUUGGAAUAAACAGUCGGAGCUUGACA